GACGUAGGGCGCGAGCGUUGUCCGGAUUUAUUGGGCGUAAAGAGCUCGUAGGCGGCUUGUCGCGUCGUCCGUGAAAACCCAUGGCUCAAUUGUGGGCGUGCGGGCGAUACGGGCAGACUGGAGUACUGCAGGGGAGACUGGAAUUCCUGGUGUAGCGGUGGAAUGCGCAGAUAUCAGGAGGAACACCAGUGGCGAAGGCGACUACCUGGCCUGUUCUUGACGCUGAGGCGCGAAAGCUAGGGGAGCAAACGGG
rnacentral:rRNA from 1 species